AUUGAACGCUGGCGGCAGGCCUAACACAUGCAAGUCGAGCGAGCGGCGGACGGGUGAGUAAUGUAUGGGGACUGCCCGAUAGCGGGGGAUAACUACUGGAAACGGUGGCUAAUACCGCAUACUGUAGGAUAACCCAUAUGGGAUUAGCUAGUAGGUAAGGUAAUGGCGUACCUAGGCGACGAUCCCUAGCUGGUCUGAGAGGCUCAUCAGCCACACUGGGACUGAGACACGGACCAGACUCCUACGGAGGCAGCAGUGGGGAAUAUUGCACAAGGGGCUCAAGCCUGAUGCAGCCAUGCCGCGUGUAUGAAGAAGGCCCUAGGGUUGUAAAGUACUUUCAGUCGGGAGGCGUUACCGACAGAAGAAGCACCGGCUAACUCCGUGCCAGCAGCCGCGGUAAUAC
rnacentral:rRNA from 1 species